UGCCUUUGAUGCCUGGGCUCCUGUGGAGGGGCAGCUCCUGGAGAGGUGGCCCUGCAGGCAGAGACACGGCGAGCCUCUCCGACAAGCUGUUCCCAUUCCUGCUCACCGCGGCUGCGGCAGCCCACCUGCUCUCCACUGUGCUGGAAUAUCAGCCGGCGCUGGCGCCUUGGCUCUGUUGUUUCAGGCCGCAAUGGGUAAUUUUUAAUCCCUCUAUUCAGAGUGUUUUGAGGAACAGGAGGAGAAACAUACGGCAUAUGCUCACCUCGGCUCCCAGGAGGUGUGGGGGAGUGUGUCCCAGCAGCUGCCGGGGUAAUCCUCGUCCUUCUGUCCAUGACUGGAUCCAAAAGGUGUGCUCAGAGUGCCUGGACAUCGCCCCACAAGCAGGGAGGCAAUAUUCAGUUCUCCAGGCUGCUGCAGCAGAAGCAAAGCCCAGUGCGGAGGAGUUGCUCCGGAGAUGCACCGGUGCUCUUGGGAGCAGUCUCCAGCCCCAUCCCGCAGCCUCAUCGUACACGGCACAAAAAUUUGGUGCGGCCACGCUGUGCGGUCAUGGCAGCGUCCUGGAGCUCGCUGUACCCAGCAUGUGAUGGGCACGUGAGCGACGGCGCUGCCGGACGCGCAGCCUCCAGAGCAUCUCGCUGUCUUCCCCGUUCAUGUGUGAGCACACGUCUUCUCUCUGUGGAUC